GUCGCCGCACACCCCCCUCCCCGCGGGCUAGCGCUCGGGUUCCACCCACGACAGAGCCCCUCGGCCUGCCCCUCUCGUCCGUACCCCACGUGGCAGCGAGGGGCUGGUUUAGCCCCGGGUGCUCCACCAGGCAGGUGUAUCUGUGCUCUUCCCCGGGAGGCACGGCCACGGCCAACCAGCCCUGGUAGGUCCCGUCCCCGUUGGGCAGCACGUCCUGAGGCUCAACGUCCUUGGCCUCCAGUGGCCGCCUGUCCUUCAGCCACCUCAUGGUGAUGUUCUGGGGGUAGAAGUUCAGAGCCUGACACCGUAGAGUGGUCACUGCAGAGGCCACAUGAUGAGUCACCUUCAGCAAGGGAGGCACUGGACAGGAAGGAGGAAGGAUCUGGAGAGGGGAUCUUUCCACCCUUGCCAGGAAGACUGGAGCUUUCACUUCCCUCCUCUACAGGUUAGAGGGACAAGACGCCCUAUUCAGACGGGGCGGGCUGCCGGAGAGACGCCAUUCUGUGUCCUAGAGCUCGCCGCGGGGCUCGGCCCUGACGUGGCGCUAUGGGGACGGCAGCCGAGUCUGUCCGCCUGGCCCGCACACGAGCGUGCACGCCUGCAGCUCGGAUCUUCUGCGUGUUACACGGAACCAGAUGCUGGGAGGUCUGCUGCUGAACCACCCGGGGCACCUUUUCAGCACUAAGACACUUGCAAAGCAAAUAGGGAAGAAGCCCCAGGAAGCACAAGCCCUGUAUCCAGCAGGUGAGUUUCCCUGACAGCUUCCUCAGUCCUGGAACGAGGGGUUCGGUGCUGGGGGCCCCUGCCUGCCCAGCAUGAGAGGUGCUCAGCACAGACUUGCUGGAUGAAUGGGUGAGAUGUGCCCUAUUUUUAUUCUUACGCCCAGCUGCCCACGGGACACCACCCGCGGGGAUGACCAACUGGAAUCUCAAGUCCCAAACCAGGCUCCGGAUUUCUUCUGCCUUCACCGUCGCGGCCAUGGCAUCACCUGUCGCCUUACUCCUCGAGCCCAUAAACAUUUUAAAAUAAUUGCAU